UUGACUCUCCCUUUUGGGUUUCUCUUAUCAGUGGAGGGACACUGAUGUCCCCACCAGUCUUCCUUCAUCCUCUCCUGGAGUUCCUGCAGCCCGCUGUGCUCACUAGCCUUCCACCCCCACCUCGGCCUACCCUAAUGCUCAGCUGUCACAGCUUUGUCAUAAGCCUGAGCCCAGCAGGGCCAGAACAAAACUGUGAGCCUCAUUAAAGUGUUCUCCUGGGGGAAGCCAGCGCGAUUCAGGUGUCAGCCCUGCUCUUCUUGUAAGCGUCUGCCUGCCAUCUCCACGCCUGUGUUCAGAAGCCUGGCUCCUUCCCAUUCCCUCCUCCUGCUCCCGCUCCCUGUCUGCUGGCAUCUGGGCUGGGCCUGCGUCUCUCAGCUGGGACUUGCUCCUUCCUACCCCCUUCUCCAGAGUGGGAAGCUGCCUCCUGCUUUCUCCUGCCCCCACCCAAAGAGAAACGUGCCCACAGCGGAGAGCACAAUGGCUGCCGCUGGUCUCCAGGAUUCCAGAAGCUUUGAAAGAAAGGGUUUCCUGCUGUGGCCGGGAACUGAGCCUGCUUCUGCCAUAUUAGGGCAUUGUCUCUCGGGCUUGUACCCUCCUUCCUCCUAGAAAACCCAUUUGUACCCUCUCCUGACUGGAUUUCCUGGGCUCGACUGGCAUCUGCUGUAGUAGCCCCUCCUCAGAAAGAAACCUGAGUCCCACUGGC